GACAAUACGAACGAAAAGCAAAACAAACAUGUGGAGGUGAAGUAAUAGAAAAUCGUAAUUGACAAAGCAAAAGAAAGGCAACAAAAAACUGGUUUUAGUAGACAGAUUUUAGUGCAUCAUCAAUAAUACAUAUUAAAAUAUUUUCUUCUGGUAUUUUAGUGUUGGAAUUUGCUAAAAUUCAGCUAACUACUUUUAUAUAAACUUUUUCAAUAACCCAGUUUGAAACGAGAACUACACACAUCCCCACAAAGUCACAAAGUUGUGCACUCAGCCAAAUAACAAGUCGUCGUUGCCUUUGUUUUGUUUGAGUGUAUGUAUGUAUGUAUGCUCGAGUGUAUGCGCACGCUUUGAGUUGAUCAUCGAGCGCGGUCUGAAUUGUAUUAUCGAAAGGAAAUAUAGCGGGUCUAAGUCCGAUAAGCGUACGUACGACUGUGCCGAUUAGUAGUGGAAAGAAUAUUGUAAAACGCAAACACAUUUGUAUACACAAUUUGUGCGAGUGCAAUAAAACUUCAACUUCCAACUGCGGUUUAAAGUCUGCACAGCGGUCAAGCCUUGUAUGCGUUAAGUGGCAAACAUUUCCAUAGAUUUGUCACUUUCAUAGAAGUGAAAUAUCUGCGUACGAACAAUUUUGAUAAAUAUUUGCUUUUUGUUCGUGUAAUGUUAAAUUACAAAACAAUAACGCCCCUCAACAUGCUCUAAAUAAACGCAGACAACAAAAGUUAAUAUAAUCAAUAUUAAAAAAAUAAUAAUAAUCACUGUAUGUACAAGUAUAAAAACGACAACAACAACAAGAACAAGAACAAGUAACAAAUCACUACAAUCACCAGAAAGAAGCGACAACAAAACAACCAACCAUCUAGGAAGUACAUAAUUGCGCUCAGACGCAUUCAGCAGCCGACUAUUGAUUGUCGCAUCCACGCCAACACUGCCGCCAGUCCGAGAUAAGCGCUUACAGCCAGCGCACAACACAAUUAACUCUUGGAAUUGCUGAUUAGUUGGAGUUAGGUUAGCGUGACACUUGCAACCAUUACGCCAUUUACAAUAGCUGUGCGAAAUAAAAAACGCGCAAAUCAAAUUUAGUUUGAAAUCUGUG